CCUCCUAGAGGAUCUAUAAAUCAUAUAUUAUACCGAAAAGUAAAAGGCUAUCCAAAUUGAGAUGGUAAAACUUGACACAUGCCUUCCCAGUAUAGUCCCUUUUCUUUUGAAUCAAAUAUCCGGUUUGGAAUUAAUAUUGAUGACAACAUUUUUCAAAAUUUGCUUCAAAAUAAAAACCUUUUUAUAAGUUUAAAGUGCCACUGCGAUGGAAAAUUGUGCUGUCUUUUUAUUGUAAAUUCAGAAAGUAUAUCAGUAGAUAAACAACGUUACCAAAUAUCAGCGUCCAAUUCCAUUUUUUUCUGCCUUUUUUUCAACGCAAACAUGCAAAUUUUUCGGCCGCCAUUACUGAGUCAUCAAUCAACCUCGCAAGCCAGGGUCUUUUAAGGCCCUGUCACACUAUUGCGUAUGAGAAAAACGUAUGAGAAACGUAUGAAAGUUAAUGAAAUAAUUUUCAUACGCACAAAAAUCCUUUGAAAUGCCAGCGUAUGAGUACCGUACAUCUGACCGUAUUCAGCGUGUGCCUAGAGUAUGCUUAUCGUAUAAACCAUACGUCCGGUACGCACAAAAUUUUUGAGCAUGCUUAAAAAAAAAUUUCUGUCUCGCCGUAUGCCAGCAUACGCCACCGUACGCUGUAUGUCAGAAAGCUUGGAAAAUCGUUUCGCAUAACGACUUUGUAAAACUUUUUUACCAUUAUAAUUGUAAAACAUUUAUAAGAAUUGAUUUAGUAUGCGAAAUCCUAAAGAAUAUGGGAAGUUUGUUUCAAUUAUUUAUUUUAUGACCGCUUUGUAUAUUUAUAUAGACUUUGUUCUUCAUGUUCAAGUCUUUCCUAUGCAUUGUUUGCGAAC